rnacentral:misc_RNA from 1 species
AAGUCGUAACAAGGUUUCCGUAGGUGAACCUGCGGAAGGAUCAUUACAAAUCCAUUUUUUUUCUCUUUAAGGUGCCAGCUGAGCGGGUUGACGAGGACUCACAACCUUGUCCUUCUGCUCGCUGCCCUUAAGGGAAAAAAAAACCAUAUACCUCAAAAACCCCUUUGUGCACUGUUGAAAAGGCGUCAACGUGGGGAGUACCCCCGUUAGUCGUCUACCCAUUUCAAAACGCUUUUAUUUUUGUUUUGCCUAAAGGUUUUUGAACCCAAGUGAUUUAAAUAAAUCUAAAAUACAACUUUUAGCAACGGAUCUCUUGGCUCUC